AGAGCUAAGCGGCGCCUUCAGCGAAGGGUGAGUGCAAACCCAAGUGACCUGUGUGGCGUUCAGCCACUGCCCCCUCGUCACCUGGGGCCCCCCCUGUCCCUGAAGGUGCUCUCCUAAAGCCUGCUCAACUCUUCCGUCAUCCACCUCCUUGCGGAUUUCCUGAAGGUCUCACUCGUCCAGCCAUAAUGCACAGCCUUCCCGGGGUCAGGUCCUCUGGGGGUUGAAGCCGCGUCCCAUCCUGAGAUGCUCCCUUCUCCCCUACCCCCCGCUCCCCUCCCGUCCCCCUCCCCUCUACCCCAGUCUUCUCUGCCUCCCUAACCCGCUCCACCUUCCUCAACAGAGGCUGUGAGCCUGUCUUCCAGGAGUGUGGACUCCGGGUUGGAAUCUUGGCUCUAGCUCUUUUCUGUGCCCUCAGCUGUAAAUGGGGAUUAUCCCAGGACCUACUUGACAGAGCUGAAAAUAUGUCUAACCUUGAGAACAGUGCCUGUCACACAGUCGGCACUAUAUAACUAUCAUCUUUCCAGUUAAUCAGGCCCCAAACUCAAGAAUCAUUCGGGAUUCCUCCUUCCCCUCAUUCUAGCAUUUUGAGCCACCGGCAAAUGCAGAGUCGGUCUGUUUCCCAAGCCCCGCACCGCUGCCCCAGCCCAGGUAUAUGCCCCGCUAGGACGGCUGCAGUAGCCUCGCUGUGGUCUCCCUGCCUCCGUUCUUGUCUGCCUCCAGCCCGGCAUCCUCGCACCAGCAAGCCAAACUUCUUGAAAUGAAAAUCGGAUGAUAUGACUCCUCUGUUGGGGUUUAGGAUAAAACCCGAACUCCUUACUAUGGACUACGAGGCCCUACAGAAUCUUCCACUAGAAAAGACAUGGAAGUGUAAACAAUAAAAUUGUUUUGGCCAUUGGAUUAGAAAAGAUUUUAAAAAUAAGAAUAACACCCAGCGUGUGUGUGUGUGUGUGUGUGUGUGUGUGUGCGUGCGAGGGUGGAGUGAAACUUUACUCUUAGCCUUGGAACCUCCUGUUGGUCCAGCAUUUUGAGGGAAGAGAAUGUUUCAAGAAGGAAGGCGGCCUUUGGGUCAAAGGCUACUGAAAGAUCAAGUAAAGUGAGGACAGAGAGCUGACUGUAGCUUUGGCCAGAAUGGUUCCAGGGGAGUGAUGAGUAGGACAGCCAUAUUGCCAAAGAAGGCAGAGAGUGAACCCGGUGAGUGGCAAUAACAGAGAGAGAGGGUGGUGGAGAGAGAGAGAGAGAGAUGGACAGUGAGGAGACAUGAGCCUAAAGAAAAGUCUGGAAGAAGCAGAGAGCUCUCUGAGGUGGGAGGGGCACUGGCUGACUGGGAGGGUCCUGAAAGCCCAGCUGAGGAGCCAGUAGGCAGCAGGAAGUUGGAGAGAAGGAACUUCAGGAAGCCUGAUAUUUGCUAAAUGUCCCAAGGGGAUGGGGCCCAGCUUAAAACUCAUUAGAAAAAAAACACAGCAAAGCGCCUGAGUUUGAGGAGUUUGGUGCUCCGUGGCAAUUCCUGCUGGAGCCUUCUUAAUUUCCUUGAUAACUGAGGGUCACCGACGAUGGGCACGUCCUCUUCUGGGGCCCGGCUGUAAUGGACGGAGUCCAAACUCUUCAGAUUCCCUGCCCCAUGCCUGGCUCUCCAUCCCCACUCCUCACCUCGCUUGUGGCCCACCGCGCCCCAGCCAAGCCCAGCGACACAAGUAACCUAAGCCAGCUGCCUUGUGCCUGCCGGACUUCGCCCAGGACCAUGGCCCUUCCCCGGAGCUCUCCUCAACUAACUGUAUGCCUCCCUCAUGUUCCCAUCCUAUCUGCCUUUCAGCAAUAAACUCGGUUAAGAACCCC